UCCAAAAUAAAGCAAGCUUUUCUUUCCACAAACCUUGCCUCUUCAUUGGCUUUUGGGCAGCAAGCAGAACCGUACUUUUGGUUACAUUACUGUCACUAACUGCUUUGAAGGCAGCUUCAGACGCUGGUGGGCAGCGAGGGGAAAUUCUCCAGGGUCAAGAGGCCAACUGCCAGUUUGUAGUCUCUACUCCGCCUCGCGUUAGGGCCCUGCCUCCUUCUAGGCUUGAAAAUGGCGGAUAAUACGACCACGCCGCAGUGACUAGGUGGCUGCCCAACCGGAUUAACGGACGUGAGCUCCUGGAACCUCCCCUGGCUCACCAGCCCGCGAAGAGUGGCUGUUUCUAUGAGCCGUAUUUGCUUUCCACAGCUCCACCAACAUUCAGGAGGCCAGACAGCAAAGAUCAAGCUGUUGGCAGAUUGGUUACUUCUGUGGCACCUUUCCUUGGCAUGCAGAUGUCUGACCUUUGGCUGUGUUUUCACAAGGUCAUCUACUGCCCAUAGUUCUUCAUUUUUGUAUAUGAAGAAUAGUCGGAAGAUUACUACCGCUCCAGGAAAUAAAAUGAGAAAAAAAAAAAAGUUUCUCGGUCCUGUUUGCUGAGAAGUUAAUAUCACCACGCAGGAAGGGGCCAGGUUUCCAAGAGACAGGAGGCUUGCCAAGCUCAAGGACCAUGAGAAGGCGGCUGAGAACUCUGGGGAGGAUGAAGUCUUUCCCAGCAUCAUACCAUAGCCUGGAUCCGCUCCCAUGGCUUGGACCACAGAGAGUUCUGUGCUUUAUUUGAUGAGUUAGAUGCCCAAUAUGGAAGCGUAUUCUGCUCCACUGGACCGAAGUGGCUGAGUCGUGGUGUAGUCAUAAGGCAGUUUUUGGAACUGGUGGAAGAAAUUGACUUUUUGAUGUCCUCUGGAGGAGAAUCUGUGCCUCAGCUCACGAGCAGAGAUUGGGUCAGAGACUUCGCCUUUUUGGUUGUCAUUGUGACACAUCUAAACAUGUUGGCUAUUUCUCUAGAAAGGCAUUCACAGGUGCUGACACAACCCUGUAAUUCAGUUGACUCAUUCCUGGUGAAAUUGUGUCUUUGGGAGACUCAUUUGGCACAGAGCAACCUGACCCACUUUCCUAUGCUGGAGUUAGUUUCUGAAAAUGAAAAUGAUGGCCUGCACUACAUUCCUCAAAUUAAAGAGUUGAAGACUAAAUUCCAAAAAAGGUUCUCCGAUUUCACACUUUAUGAGAAUGAACUAAUACUGUUCCGUUCCCCUUUCUCAAUUAGGAUUCAUAAUGUGAAUGAAGAGCUACAAAUGGAAGUUAGUGAAUUGCAGUGCAGUACCAACCUGAAAGCCAAAUACCACGAUGUUGAGAUUCCAGAAUUCUACAGAUAUCUUGGGAAUGGUUACCCUAAAUAUAAACACCAUUGUGCAGAGAUUCUGUCCAUGUUUGGAAGUACUUAUGUUUGUAAGCAGCUAUUCUUGCUAUGAAACUAAAGAAAACCUAAAUGUGGCUCCCAGUUAAAGGAUUCAAGGAUGAAUUCUCUGCUGUGUGUUGCAACACAAGGUCCACAGCCUGUUGUUGACUGACAUCUUGUGGAAUAAGAAAGGAAUGUCAGAUUUUGAAUUUCAAAUCUGAAGAGUAAUAAAUUUUGGAACUUUGAACAGUUAUUUCUAUUUCCAAAUUAUAUUUUUUUUCAAUGUCAAAUUUAAAGUGCAAUC